rnacentral:rRNA from 1 species
GACGUAGGGCGCGAGCGUUGUCCGGAUUUACUGGGCGUAAAGGGCGCGUAGGCGGCUCUGCACGUCCGUUGUGAAAUCGCCCGGCUCAACUGGGCGGGGUCAGCGGAUACGGCGGAGCUUGAGCAAGCUAGGGGGCAAUGGAAUUCCCGGUGUAGUGGUGGAAUGCGUAGAUAUCGGAAGGAACACCAGUGGCGAAAGCGGCUUCCUGGUCCAGCGCCGACGUUCAGGCACGAAAGCGUGGGGAGCAAACAGG